CACACAUACAGGAAGUGAAUAUAUCAGGCUGAGAGUACUUAAACCCCCCUGCCCAGCAUGAUGUUACACUGCUGUUCAGGAGAGGCUGCUACUAUUCAAAGCUGAACAUUGUAAAGGUGGUUAUAGCUAAUAGAGACCACAACAGCAUAAUCCUACAGUUUGCACUCCUAUGAGGAAAUUGAUUGUGGGACUAAUUAUACCGUAAAAAUCGGUUUUUGGCCCCUACUUUGAUUGACAUGAAGCCCUGAUGAAGUCCUUGGGACGAAACGCGUCGGGUAGUGUUUCUUGUGAAAACAUCAGACAUCCUGUAUAAUACACCAUUUGAUGGGAUACAUUGUCUGUUAUCAUGUCUGCAAUAACAUUGUAAACUGUAUUUUUAUUAUAUUUACCAUUGGAUUUUCAUGUAAUAAUCUCCGUUCACUAAAAGUAUGAUGUACUUGGUGAAUAUGUGAAUAAAAUCUAUUGUUUUUAUCA